rnacentral:rRNA from 1 species
AAACCGGGUCUAAUACUGGAUACUACUCCUCAUCGCAUGGUGGGGGGUGGAAAGGGUUUUACUGGUUUUGGAUGGGCUCACGGCCUAUCAGCUUGUUGGUGGGGUAAUGGCUCACCAAGGCGACGACGGGUAGCCGGCCUGAGAGGGUGACCGGCCACACUGGGACUGAGACACGGCCCAGACUCCUACGGGAGGCAGCAGUGGGGAAUAUUGCACAAUGGGCGGAAGCCUGAUGCAGCGACGCCGCGUGAGGGAUGACGGCCUUCGGGUUGUAAACCUCUUUCAGCAGGGAAGAAGCCACAAGUGACGGUACCUGCAGAAGAAGCGCCGGCUAACUACGUGCCAGCAGCCGCGGUAAUACGUAGGGCGCAAGCGUUGUCCGGAAUUAUUGGGCGUAAAGAGCUCGUAGGCGGUUUGUCGCGUCUGCUGUGAAAGCCCGGGGCUCAACUCCGGGUCUGCAGUGGGUACGGGCAGACUAGAGUCCAGUAGGGAAGACCCUUAUUAGUCGUGAAUCUGAUCAUGGCGCAGAUUUAAAUACCCUGGUAGUCCUGAGUUUGAUCC